rnacentral:ncRNA from 1 species
GAUCAGCAGUGUGGUAUAGGCGGCUUGGACAGUGCCGCAUCGGAACUCUAUACCCGGAAGACUUGCAAAGGUGAUUUCCCUUCC